AGAGACGCCCAGGAGACUCACUCUCAGGACAAAUACCAGAGGAGAGAGGCCAAACUCCUAGCCGCCCACCCUAUCUUCCUGUAGAAGAAUUUUCUGCCAUGUACUUCAGGAGAAAAAAAAAAUCACAUAAAUCAGAAAAUUCCUCACAAAUUGGAUGGUGUUACUCUCGAAUGGGGGACCCUAGAGAAUGUCAUAUAUCACAGAAAACCCACUACACUGCUGGCCCUUACAGAAGAAACUGAAAAUGCAUGUGCAGCAAUCUCAGUGGUCAAGGCUGUACUGAUAAAUUUCUGGAAGCUAAUGGCCGCCACUCUGAGCACCACUUCCAAUUGUAAAGGCCAAAGGUAAUUUGUAUUAAUCUUGUGAUGUCUCAUUAAAUUUAAUAUUCAAAUAUUUAUACAAGUUUUUCUUUUCCUGAAGUAUGCAUACUUUUUGGGGGCAUUCUGUGUUGAUAUCUGAAACUUAUAAUAAAUGAAAUUAAUUUGAAA